rnacentral:tRNA from 1 species
GCACCGUUCGUCUAUCGGUUAGGACACCCGCCUUUCACGCAGGUAAGAGGAGUUCGAUUCUCCUACGGUGUACCA